CGUGAUCUAGAAGUCAGCCUGCCCAGUGACUAAGUUAAACGGCCGCGGUACCCUAACCGUGCAAAGGUAGCGCAAUCACUUGUUCUUUAAAUGAGGACUAGUAUGAACGGCAUCACGAGGGUUAUACUGUCUCCCUAUUCCAUUCAGUGAAACUGAUCUUCCCGUGAAGAAGCGGGAAUAUAAAUAUAAGACGAGAAGACCCCAUGGAGCUUUAAACUCAGUGUCAUCUGCCACUUCAAUACCCUCUUAACCACGCAGACAUGAUAACUAGUUUUCGGUUGGGGUGACCGCGGAGUAAAACAAAACCUCCACAACGAAAGGAACUAACAACCUAAUCCAAGAGCAACAUCUCUAAGAAUCAACAAAUUGACUUAAUUGAUCCAAUUACUUGAUCAACGAACCAAGUUACCCUGGGGAUAACAGCGCAAUCCAUUUCAAGAGCUCAUAUCGACAAAUGGGUUUACGACCUCGAUGUUGGAUCAGGGUAUCCCAGUGGCGCAGCAGCUACUAACGGUUCGUUUGUUCAACGAUUAAAACCCUACGUGAUCUGAGUUAAAACGGGGA
rnacentral:rRNA from 1 species